rnacentral:rRNA from 1 species
GUGGGGAAUAUUGGGCAAUGGGCGCAAGCCUGACCCAGCAACGCCGCGUGAAGGAAGAAGGCUUUCGGGUUGUAAACUUCUUUUAAGAGGGAAGAGCAGAAGACUGUACCUCUAGAAUAAGCCACGGCUAACUACGUGCCAGCAGCCGCGGUAAUACGUAGGUGGCAAGCGUUGUCCGGAUUUACUGGGUGUAAAGGGCGUGCAGCCGGGAAUGCAAGUCAGAUGUGAAAUCCAUGGGCUUAACCCAUGAACUGCAUUUGAAACUGUAUUUCUUGAGUACUGGAGAGGCAAUCGGAAUUCCUAGUGUAGCGGUGAAAUGCGUAGAUAUUAGGAGGAACACCAGUGGCGAAGGCGGAUUGCUGGACAGCAACUGACGGUGAGGCGCGAAAGUGUGGGGAGCAAACAGGAUUAGAAACCCUAGUAGUCC